GUAGGUGGCAAGCGUUGUCCGGAAUUAUUGGGCGUAAAGCGCGCGCAGGCGGUUCUUUAAGUCUGAUGUGAAAGCCCACGGCUCAACCGUGGAGGGUCAUUGGAAACUGGAGAACUUGAGUACAGAAGAGGAAAGCGGAAUUCCACGUGUAGCGGUGAAAUGCGUAGAGAUGUGGAGGAACACCAGUGGCGAAGGCGGCUUUCUGGUCUGUAACUGACGCUGAGGCGCGAAAGCGUGGGGAGCAAACAGGGAUUAGAUACCCUGGUAGUCCACGCCGUAAACGAUGAGUGCUAAGUGUUAGGGGGUUUCCGCCCCCUUAGUGCUGCAGCUAACGCAUUAAGCACUCCGCCUGGGGAGUACGGCCGCAAAGGCUG
rnacentral:rRNA from 1 species